GGUGAUUGGUUAACUAUGGACCACUCAAUAUCUUAGAAGAUAUUAGACUUUUUUAAUUAUUUUUUUUUUGUACUAUUAUAGUUAUUAGGUGGGACAAAUUUAAUGUAUUUUUCAAAAUUUUAACACCAUCCCUUAUGCGUUAAAACCAUAUCAACUUUAGAUUUUUAAAUGGUAACCCCCAAUUUUUUUUUGAUGAUCGUGUUUAUUUUUUUUAAAUUUAAUUUUAGGCGUAAAAACUAGCUAAAUCGAUUGAGUAGUUAACGAGCUACACAGUUUUAAAAUUAAAGGGAGUGUAAAAAAUAAAUUAAAUAUCUUGGAGACGCUAACAUAUUAAUGUGACUGCUCUCUGUUAUUAUUUAUUGACAAUUAACUUUGACAAUAGCUAUUGUAGCGUUUAAAAAUCAUAACCGUACCAAACACUAUUUACUUUAGGUAAAUAAUUCACCGAUAGUAAAUAAUAAUGAUAACCGCUAUAUCGACUGACAAAUAUACCACCACUACACACUUUUACAUUUAUUUUGUAAAAUAGUAGGUAUGUUUUAUUUGUUAUCAAUAUCUUGUGUAUAUUUUUCCAGCAUUUAGCAAUUAUUUGUUUUGGUUAAUUUGACACAUUUUGUUUAUUCAUGCGAUUUGUACGUCUUAAUUUCAUAGUAUAUUAUAAUAAUAUAGUAUCAUAACUUACUAGAGUCUAGAUCUAUGAACUUGUCAACAUUUAUUGUGUUUUAAAUAAUAACAUUGAUAUUAAAUAUCCAUAAUCAAUGUGAAUACCAAGAUGGAGUUUUGCUCAAGUGACAAGUCUAUAAAACCUAAAACCUUACUUAUAAAAUGUAUGCACAUCAAAUAUCAAAAUUAAAGUAUUAUGUCUUUGUUCUGAGAAACUUAUAAAUGUGUAGUUUUGUGUUUUAACAUAUUGGUAUCUGAAUUCAAAGAAAAAAUAUAAAAUUUUUUAUGAAAAAAUUGAAUCUUCAAUCAUCGUUUACUGAAUCAAUAAUAGUAUGUUCAAUAUUAAUAUGGACUAUCUCAACUUAAAUUGAUAUUUGUUAUUGUCUACAACUACACUACUACCAACGUCAAAUUUGGUGUAUUAUAUUAUUGUAGUCAAUCAGUCUAAACUAAUUCCAUCAAUACAUUGUCGAAUGUUGUGGUAUUCAAUUUUCAGUAAAUUUAUAGGUGUUUUAUUUUAAGUUACUGUGGCACACUAUUGCAGAUAACGGUUUUCCAUUAAGUCAGUAAGAAGAAUAAGAUGGAUUCACAAGUUCAAAUCAAAUAUUAGACAACUAUAUAUAUUUAGUUAUUCAGCUAAAAAUGUAAUUCAAUAAAAUAAUUUAAAAGUACUUUAUCAUUUUAAAAGUGACAUAAAGUUUUUAAACUCUAAGUAUUUAAACACACAUAUACUUAACAUAUCUAUAAUUAUUAUACAUUAUUUAUUAAUUAUUAAUGAUGAAUUCUUUAUUUAAUAUUAAUUUAAUCUAAAAUGCUGCUGAGAAUGUUAAUAUUUCUAAAAUAUGUUAUUGUCUUAAUCCAAAUCUUGAAAUUAUUUUCAUGAUGGCAUAGUUUUGGCAUUAGCUAUUACAGAAUUUAUUGACAAUUUUCUAGUGGUUUACGAUUAAGUUUUUAUAAGUAAUAAAGUAAAUAAAAUUAUAAAACACAAAAUAGAAAAAAAAAAUGUUAACUAUUGGAUUAAGUGUAAAAAAGUAAAUUGAAUGAAUAUACUUAUAAAUAUUUUUUAACUUAAAUAUGUAAAUGGAGAUGGAUUUCUUCUAGUGGGAAAUCAUCAAACAAACUUUACCGCCCUAGGUAACUUCCUAUAACUACAUCACUAUAUACAGCAAUAUGUUGUACCUCUAUUAUUUACAAGUUAAUUAUAGAUAUGUUAAUUUUAUUUAGUCUUAGUUUUUUAAUAUGAUUUAGCAAAUAAAAAUGUUUAUUCGUA